UACGGGGGGUGCGAGCGUUGUCCGGAAUCACUGGGCGUAAAGGGCGCGUAGGUGGUUUGAUAAGGGUGUGGUGAAAGCCCGGGGCUCAACCCCGGGUCUGCCGUGCCGACUGUCAAACUCGAGGGCUGUAGAGGCAGACGGAAUUCCGGGUGUAGCGGUGGAAUGCGUAGAGAUUUGGAGGAACACCAGUGGCGAAGGCGACUUUCUGGUCUGUAACUGACACUGAGGCGCGAAAGCGUGGGGAGCGAACAGG
rnacentral:rRNA from 1 species